AUAUCGGUCCUAAGGUAGCGAAAUUCCUUGUCGGGUAAGUUCCGACCUGCACGAAUGGCGUAACGAUGGCGGCGCUGUCUCCACCCGAGACUCAGUGAAAUUGAAAUCGCUGUGAAGAUGCAGUGUAUCCGCGGCUAGACGGAAAGACCCCGUGAACCUUUACUGUAGCUUUGCACUGGACUUUGAGCCUGCUUGUGUAGGAUAGGUGGGAGGCUUUGAAGCGUGGACGCCAGUUCGCGUGGAGCCAUCCUUGAAAUACCACCCUGGCAUGCUUGAGGUUCUAACUCUGGUCCGUGAUCCGGAUCGAGGACAGUGUAUGGUGGGCAGUUUGACUGGGGCGGUCUCCUCCUAAAGAGUAACGGAGGAGUACGAAGGUGCGCUCAGACCGGUCGGAAAUCGGUCGCAGAGUAUAAAGGCAAAAGCGCGCUUGACUGCGAGACAGACACGUCGAGCAGGUACGAAAGUAGGUCUUAGUGAUCCGGUGGUUCUGUAUGGAAGGGCCAUCGCUCAACGGAUAAAAGGUACUCCGGGGAUAACAGGCUGAUACCGCCCAAGAGUUCAUAUCGACGGCGGUGUUUGGCACCUCGAUGUCGGCUCAUCACAUCCUGGGGCUGAAGCCGGUCCCAAGGGUAUGGCUGUUCGCCAUUUAAAGUGGUACGCGAGCUGGGUUUAGAACGUCGUGAGACAGUUCGGUCCCUAUCUGCCGUGGACGUUUGAGAUUUGAGAGGGGCUGCUCCUAGUACGAGAGGACCGGAGUGGACGAACCUCUGGUGUUCCGGUUGUCACGCCAGUGGCAUUGCCGGGUAGCUAUGUUCGGAAAAGAUAACCGCUGAAAGCAUCUAAGCGGGAAACUUGCCUCAAGAUGAGAUCUCACUGGGAACUUGAUUCCCCUGAAGGGCCGUCGAAGACUACGACGUUGAUAGGCUGGGUGUGUAAGCGUUGUGAGGCGUUGAGCUAACCAGUACUAAUUGCCCGUGAGGCUUGAC
rnacentral:rRNA from 1 species